UAUAGAGUGAUAAACACUUGGGUUGGGGUUAUAAGCUUUGUCAUUCUAAGCUUAUUAGACACUUGGGAAGUAAAGUUCAUAGAGUGUAUUUCAGUUUCGAGGUGUAGUUCGAUCAUAGCAAUUUCAAAGGCAUCGAAGUUCUUCGAACUUGAGAUUUCUUGUUGGUAAGAAUCUUCUCAAUGGUUUAGUUCAUUCCUUUUCAUCUCUUUCUUUUAGAAAACUCACCUCUCUAUUAAUGGUUUUUAGGAGUGUUCCAAAAUCCCGACUUUGUUCUCAUCAUCCCGGUAUUUUGUGUGAUGCAGGAAAAUGAAUAUGGAAGGCGGAAGGAUUCUUGGUAGCUUGGCUUGUGUGUUGAGGAUGGAUGGAAUGUGUAGACUGCGUGUCGAUCGAGGAUGAAGUUAUUUAUUUUUAGUCUUUUAAAUCAUGUUUUUUCCGCAUUUAGUUUUGUAAAUAAUUUUCUUUAGUUUAAAAUUAUGUUUUAUGUUUUAAACAAUGGGUACCCAUGCCAUAUUUUCUAUUAUUAUGUAUUUGAUACAAUAUUUCAAGAUUUAAUAAAGUUAGUUAUAUUAUUUCUUAUGUAUCUUUCCCAAAAUAGUAGUUAUGUAUAGUAGAUCUAAUGGUCCAAGGUCUUAGAAAUAGUUGGG